UUAUAAAACUGAGGGCGGGGCCAGGUCAAUGGCCUUGGAGGGCCGCAUCCGGCCCCCGGACCUUAGUUUGGGGACCCCUGAUCUAGAUGGUCUCAUAGGACCAUAGAUAAGGAAAGGGAUCCUCAAAGACCAUCUAGAUGGUUUCAUAAGACCAUAGGGUUGUUGUAUGUUUUCCCGUCUGUCUGGCCAUGUUCCAGAAGUAUUCUCUCCUGACAUUUCGCCCACAUUUAUGGCAGGCAUCUUCAGAGGUUGUGCGGUAUUUUCAACUUAUUUUUCUGACUACUUCUUCAAAACACCAUCCCUUAACGUACUUCUUGACUCUUUAUUUACUGACUAGUAAGUUAUCAUGACCUUCCAGCUAGCUCCUUCCCUUCCUUAAUUGACUUCAACUCCCAUAGAAUGUUCAGUUUUUUUCUUCCAAUUGUCAUCCUUGACUCUCAUCUUUCACAUCUUGGCACCCGCUCAUUUGCAUAUGACCAAUCAGGUCACCCCUAUGCAAAAUAUUUUAUUGAUUUAUUUUAUUUACAGUAUUUAUAUUCCGCCCUUCUUUCUCACCCCGAAGGGGACUCAGGGCGGAUUAUAAAUACUGCAAAUAAAUAAAUAAUCCAGUUCAAAGCAGAUAAUAUAAGAUUAUAAAUGGGUAAUAUAGCUGUGUGGAAGGACCUUGAGUCUACACUGCCAUAUAAUCCAGUUCAAAUCAGAUAAUCUGUAUUUUAUAGGCAGUGUGGAUCAAGCCUAAGUGCACUCUGCCUUGGGUGCCAUUUUGGCUGAGGGAGUUGCUAGGAUAUGAAGGGGCGGGGCCUAAAAGCAGCGGGGGGGGGGGGGGGAGUAAAGGUAGCAGAGCCUACCUUUCUGA
rnacentral:lncRNA from 1 species